UAGAGAUAAACUAUUCAUCUGAUGAUCAGCCCAAUCCCCGUGGUGAAAUAUGUGUCAGGGGUCCCAUUAUUUUUCAAGGAGAGAAGUGAUUAAUGAAGAAGGAUAGUUGCAUAUAGGAGAUAUUGGAAUGUGGUUAUCUGGUGGUCGUCUCAAAAUUAUUGAUAGAUACAGGAGUCAUUCCAGGUUCCAUUCCACCUGCCCCUCAGUAGAUCUUAGUCAUUUUGGUGAGCCAUUCUUCUUUCCAAGGGCUAAGUAAUUAUGUAAUGGAACCUUUGCUCAAAAUUUAGAUUAUGUCAAUGCUCCAUAUGUCACAGGCAGGAUCCUCG